rnacentral:rRNA from 1 species
UUUAUGGAGAGUUUGAUCCUGGCUCAGGAUGAACGCUGGCGGCGUGCCUAAUACAUGCAAGUCGAGCGAACAGAUAAGGAGCUUGCUCCUUUGACGUUAGCGGCGGACGGGUGAGUAACACGUGGGUAACCUACCUAUAAGACUGGAAUAACUCCGGGAAACCGGGGCUAAUGCCGGAUAACAUGUUGAACCGCAUGGUUCUACAGUGAAAGACGGUCUUGCUGUCACUUAUAGAUGGACCCGCGCCGUAUUAGCUAGUUGGUGGGGUAACGGCCUACCAAGGCGACGAUACGUAGCCGACCUGAGAGGGUGAUCGGCCACACUGGAACUGAGACACGGUCCAGACUCCUACGGGAGGCAGCAGUAGGGAAUCUUCCGCAAUGGGCGAAAGCCUGACGGAGCAACGCCGCGUGAGUGAUGAAGGUCUUCGGAUCGUAAAGCUCUGUUGUUAGGGAAGAACAAAUGUGUAAGUAACUGUGCACAUCUUGACGGUACCUAACCAGAAAGCCACGGCUAACUACGUGCCAGCAGCCGCGGUAAUACGUAGGUGGCAAGCGUUAUCCGGAAUUAUUGGGCGUAAAGCGCGCGUAGGCGGUUUUUUAAGUCUGAUGUGAAAGCCCACGGCUCAACCGUGGAGGGUCAUUGGAAACUGGAAAACUUGAGUGCAGAAGAGGAAAGUGGAAUUCCAUGUGUAGCGGUGAAAUGCGCAGAGAUAUGGAGGAACACCAGUGGCGAAGGCGGCUUUCUGGUCUGCAACUGACGCUGAUGUGCGAAAGCGUGGGGAUCAAACAGGAUUAGAUACCCUGGUAGUCCACGCCGUAAACGAUGAGUGCUAAGUGUUAGGG